rnacentral:rRNA from 1 species
GACGAACGCUGGCGGCGUGCUUAACACAUGCAAGUCGAACGGAAAGGCCCUGCUUUUGUGGGGUGCUCGAGUGGCGAACGGGUGAGUAACACGUGAGUAACCUGCCCUUGACUUUGGGAUAACUUCAGGAAACUGGGGCUAAUACCGGAUAGGAGCUCCUGCUGCAUGGUGGGGGUUGGAAAGUUUCGGCGGUUGGGGAUGGACUCGGGGCUUAUCAGCUUGUUGGUGGGGUAGUGGCUUACCAAGGCUUUGACGGGUAGCCGGCCUGAGAGGGUGACCGGCCACAUUGGGACUGGGGUACGGCCCAGGCGCCUACGGGGGGCAGGAGUGGGGAAUAUUGCACAAUGGGCGGAAGCCGGAUGCAGCAACGCCGCGUGCGGGAGGACGGCCUUCGGGUUGUAAACCGCUUUCGCCUGUGACGAAGCGUGAGUGACGGGAAUGGAGAAAGAAGCACCGGCGAACUACGG